UACGGAGGGUGCAAGCGUUGUCCGGAAUCACUGGGCGUAAAGGGCGCGUAGGCGGCCUGAUAAGUAGGAGGUGAAAUCCUGCGGCUUAACCGCAGGGCUGCCUUCUAAACUGCCAGGCUCGAGCACAGUAGAGGCAGGUGGAAUUCCCGGUGUAGCGGUGGAAUGCGUAGAGAUCGGGAAGAACAUCAGUGGCGAAGGCGGCCUGCUGGGCUGUUGCUGACGCUGAGGCGCGACAGCGUGGGGGAGCAAACAGG
rnacentral:rRNA from 1 species